GAUUAAAUCGGUGCUCUAGCGGGUGGGGCAGACCCUGGGCUAGCAGGCCCCAGGGAGAACUCCAAUGGCGUCUGUGUCAGCACGCCCACACCAGGCCACAACAAUGGCCGCCGCCAAUGUCCCAGUCCCUGUAGAGGUCUCACCCCUCACUGAGAUGCACUCAGGGCCUAUUAGAUUCUAUGUUGUUUCUGCUGCACCAGCCUGGAAAGAACAGAGACCACCUCUCUGCAUGCCUGCUUGUGGCUGUCUCUGAAUUGGGAGAAUUCCCUCUUACACCUAAUGGAUGGGAAUGGCAAACGUGCAAAUAACAAACACAGCACAUCAAAAUAAGGAUGAAAGCAAGAUUAUACACCUAAAAGCCUGGGAUAGAGUCAAGAUCAUUCAACUAUUUAUGAAAACAACAACAAAUAUUAUUCAUGUACAACGUUGAUAAGAUCCUUCAUAACAGGUUUUCAUAUGUAAUAUGAGUAAUAUCAUUGACACAAUUUAUAAAAUAAAAAUAAUUAA